rnacentral:rRNA from 1 species
CCUACGGUGGGCUGCAGUGGGGGAUAUUGCACAAUGGGGGAAACCCUGAUGCAGCGACGCCGCGUGAGUGAAGAAGUAUUUCGGUAUGUAAAGCUCUAUCAGCAGGGAAGAAAAUGACAGUACCUGACCAAGAAGCCCCGGCUAACUACGUGCCAGCAGCCGCGGUAAUACGUAGGGGGCAAGCGUUAUCCGGAUUUACUGGGUGUAAAGGGAGCGUAGACGGUAGCACAAGUCUGGAGUGAAAUGCCGGGGCUUAACCCCGGAACUGGUUGGGAAACUGUGCAGCUAGAGUGCAGGAGGGGUAAGGCGAAUUCCGAGUGUAGCGGGGAAAUGCG